GCAAGGUGCUGAAGUCAAACUUUGGGCCAGCCUGAAAAGCAGCAGUAAACAUGAUUGGCUUCCUGCUCUCGAAAGACCCAACACAGAGUCUAUCUCCCUGGUCAACACACCUGUCCCACGUUCUUCUCAAGAGCUGACC